rnacentral:rRNA from 1 species
UGGGGAAUAUUGGACAAUGGGGGCAACCCUGAUCCAGCGACGCCGCGUGUGUGAAGAAGGCCUGCGGGUUGUAAAGCACUUUUAGUGGGGAUGAAAAGCCGAGGGCUAAUACCUUUCGGUCUUGACCUAACCCAAAGAAAAAGCACCGGCUAACUCUGUGCCAGCAGCCGCGGUAAUACAGAGGGUGCAAGCGUUAAUCGGAAUUACUGGGCGUAAAGCGUGCGUAGUCGGCUUUUUAAGUCGGGUGUGAAAUCCCCGGGCUCAACCUGGGAAUUGCAUUCGAUACUGGAUCGCUAGAGUUCGGCAGAGGGAAGCGGAAUUUCGGGUGUAGCGGUGAAAUGCGUAGAUAUCCGAAGGAACAUCAGUGGCGAAAGCGGCUUCCUGGACCAGAACUGACGAUCAGGCACGAAAGCGUGGGGAGCAAACAGG